rnacentral:lncRNA from 1 species
AUCCACCAGCACCUUAGCAAAGUGCCUGGCUUGUUCAGUAAACAGCUAACAAAUGAACGGGUUUUUGUUUAUGUAUCACCUAGUUCCAAAAAAAGACUUGAGGCCACAUGAUGACGUAGGUACGUCAGGAAGAGUCUGCAAAUUUAGAUCACACUGAAGAUGAUCGUUAUCUCUCCUUGACAGCCUGGUCUCGCCCCAUGAUAGCUUGUCCCUCCCGAUGGCGGUCUGCAGCGGACCGGCUUGUACCUGCUGGGACCCGCCAACACUGCGAGCCUCAGAGCCCACAGCCAGGCUACCUCUCCC